GUACACGCUGUGACUAGCAUAUCAAUAAGCGGAGGAAAAGAAACUAACAAGGAUUCCCCUAGUAACGGCGAGUGAAGCGGGAAGAGCUCAAAUUUGAAAUCUUAAAGGGUUUCCCUUUACGAAUUGUAGUUUAAAGAAGUGUUUUCUGUUGAGGUUUUGGUAAAAGUUCUUUGGAAUAGGACAUCAUAGAGGGUGAGAAUCCCGUAUUUGACCUUUACUUUCAACUUUGUGAUACACUUUCAAAGAGUCGGAUUGUUUGGGAAUGCAGUCCAAAAUGGGUGGUAAAUUUCAUCUAAAGCUAAAUAUUGGCGAGAGACCGAUAGCGAACAAGUACCGUGAGGGAAAGAUGAAAAGAACUUUGAAAAGAGAGUUAAACAGUACGUGAAAUUGUCAAAAGGGAAGCGUUUGACACCAGUGUUGUUUUUCUGAAAAUCAAUUAAAGAACUGUUCAUGCUAAGUUGUUUAGACUUUAUCAGCUAACUGUUUAGUUUUGAGCUCUUCUUUAAUGCACUUUUCAGUUAACAAGUCAACAUCAAUUUCUUUUGCUGUAAAAAAGCUUGAGGAAGGUGGCUUGAGAUUCGUCUUAAGUGUUUAUAGCCUCUUGCCUAUGCAGUCGGAGAGAUUGAGGUCUGCAGCGUAGAUCCUUCGGGGCUAAAUGCAUUUGUGCUAAGUUAUAGCAUUUUAUAGACGACUUGUUGACUAUGAUUUGUCUUGUAGCUUACUCGCUUAUGUUAUUUUACCUACGCUUAGGAUGUUGAAGUCAUCGUAUCGCGC
rnacentral:rRNA from 1 species